GGAUAUUUUAAGAAUUGUUUUGAUUGUCAAUGACUUUACAAGGAUACAUUGACGUCUCCUGCAUCGUGAGAAAUAAAGCCAUAGAAUACAUUCAUACCACUCAAAUUCAGCCAGUCAGAAUGAUGGGAAGGAUUGCAGAACUGAGUUUCACUCUCACCUGACUGAUGCAGAUUCAGUAACCUAAUUGCUCAUGAUGGUUUCUGAGAAAAAAACAGCUUGGUGUAAUUUGACAGUAUUUUUCAGUAUUUGACAGUGGUUCUAUCAUGCAACAGUCAUACCAUGAAGUGUCUCACAGAUUCUCUCUCAAUUCCUGCAAUAUCCAAGGUUAGAGUGUAGUAAAAAGAGGAUUAAUUUUCUUGCAAUAAGAAGUAUCUGCACUUCCAAAUACCCCUGUACAGCAUGAACAGUUUCUUCAUUUUUUUUGAGUGAUUAUAGAGUGAAAAUGUUUCCAUAUAAAAUGUUUUCUUUUUAUGUGUAAAACUUGUCAUGAAUGGUUACAAAUACAUGCAUGGACAUUAUGAUUCCAAAUUUAUGCACAUUUUGAUUCCAAUAAAGUAUUUUAAAUUUGGUUUGAAACAGAAAUAUUGUCCUUAUGUUUGUUUCUAAACAUUAUCUGGUAUUAUUCGUGUUUAUAGUUUCCAUGUCAAUUUAAA